UCAGUACUGUGUGAACGGAUUGUAGUUC
rnacentral:sRNA from 1 species